GUUCCUCUAUUUAGGAGGUUUCUUUGUUUUUAAAAAAUUAGAAAUAAAUAAGGAACUUUCUCUAAAACUGGUUUUUAUUUAUUUAUUUAAAAAAAAAGCACCAUAAUUUUUUAUAAACUCAGGACCGUCUUCGUCUCCGUUUCCCUGUCCCAUAACCUAAUUUGGUUUUUCUAGUCAUCAUCUCUCUUGUCUACAUUUCCUCCCACCGCCGUCAAAGCCAUGAAACAUCUUCAUCUUCUUCUUAUUGUCCCAUAUUUCCUCUUUUCUACUCAAUCCUCCUUAGAAAUCUUCUAAAUUUAAACCUUAGAAAUUUGAAAUUCGAAGCGGAGAGAUUACGAAUCUCUCCCCAACAAAUCAAUGGCGACUCGGAAAGCAACGUUAAACUUGUUUUUUCUCGCUUGCAUUUUAUCUUACAGCGUUUCUCCAUGGCAGCGUAUGCUCAUUUCUCUCUCCUCCUAAUUUUGAUUUUUAUUUUUCAAUUUUAUGUAUGAAAUUAUUAAUGAAUGAAGAGCUGAUUUUUGUGUAAUUGGUUUCGGGAUAAAAUUUUGGAAGAGUUAGUAUGAUGUACUGCAAGUGCUGAAAGGAUCUUCAGGUGAUUAGAUCAAACAAGAUUAAAGGAAACUCACGUUGAAACACCAGCCUGACAAGAAUCAAGGCAAUUAAUAAGAAGGCCAUCAAGAAAUUUGGCUAGAUUAAUAAUGGCUGAAAGCAACCAAUUUUAAAGCCAAAAUUCGGUUCAAUCCAUAUAUGUUCAAGUGCGGUUGAAAUCCCUCUCUCCCUCAUUAGAUACAGUUGACAAGAUUGCUGCAGUUAUCAGAAGAUUUAAGGAAAGGUAAAAAAACCUUUUUCAUAAGGAUAAUGAACAAUGUCAAGGAAUCAGAGGUGGAGAGUUAUGGAAUGAUUGUUAAGAGCUUUUACGAGUUCGAACCAGGUUAUGCAGAAUAUUUGUUUGGUUUCACUGAGCAACGAAAGCCUUGCUGAUAAAUAUAAUAGAGGUAAACAUUAGUAGAUGAACAAGAGUAUUUGAAAUUGCUUAACUCAAAGAAGAAUGAUUUAGUGAUUUACAUUAAUUUGUUUCGGAAACACAACAAGCUUCAUCCCUCCUUAACGACACAAGAUUACCAUGGCUCUGAAGACAUCAUGCAAAGAGUUCAUCUGGGUAGUCAAUAAAAUAACAUUUGAAAUUAAAGCAUAAAGUAUAUACUUGUAUAUGAGGAAUUUUCAUUGUAAUUAGGUGAUUUUAAUAUAUUUAAUUUCAGUAUUCAUGUACUCAAAUAUAUUAUGUAAUUGAAGGUAAUCGAUUGAAAUGUAUUUAAUUCAAUACACGAAUUAAUAUAAUUUCGAAUA